rnacentral:lncRNA from 1 species
AAAACAAAUUGAGCAAGAUGCAAUUAUCUUGCUCGGCCGCCAUGAGCGACCCCCAAUGCACACUUGAGCGCGCAAGUACUACAAAAGUCUAUCGGAGGUGCGCCGCCAUGAGUGCAAUCAUACUCCUAGGUGUAGCCGUGCACAUCCAUCUUCAGGAAUUCAACCCAUGCCUGUUGUUUUAAUUUUGGAGGCAGCCUUUUAGCCUAUAUGAAGCUUAACUCGUCCCAAAAUAAGGCAUCUCGGACUUUGGAGCAAUUUUUGGAGAUAAGAAGGCAAUGAAAUAAGAUAGACUCUGAAUACUUUAUCCAAUUCAUUUAAUAUGCAAGUUUCUUUGAUUUUGGGGAUUGUAACUCCGCAAGAAGAGUAAUUAGGACCAAUUUAGUUAUUUUUACCUUCC